GCAAACAAGCUGGUGAUACACAAGGAGCAAGACUUAAAAUCUUGCGACCUCUGGUCGUGCGGGUUCGAGUCCCGCCGUCCGCACCA
rnacentral:tRNA from 1 species